GAUGAACGCUGGCGGCGUGCCUAAUACAUGCAAGUCGAGCGAACAGACGAGGAGCUUGCUCCUCUGACGUUAGCGGCGGACGGGUGAGUAACACGUGGAUAACCUACCUAUAAGACUGGGAUAACUUCGGGAAACCGGAGCUAAUACCGGAUAAUAUAUUGAACCGCAUGGUUCAAUAGUGAAAGACGGUUUUGCUGUCACUUAUAGAUGGAUCCGCGCCGCAUUAGCUAGUUGGUAAGGUAACGGCUUACCAAGGCAGCGAUGCGUAGCCGACCUGAGAGGGUGAUCGGCCACACUGGAACUGAGACACGGUCCAGACUCCUACGGGAGGCAGCAGUAGGGAAUCUUCCGCAAUGGGCGAAAGCCUGACGGAGCAACGCCGCAUGAGUGAUGAAGGUCUUCGGAUCGUAAAACUCUGUUAUUAGGGAAGAACAAAUGUGUAAGUAACUAUGCACGUCUUGACGGUACCUAAUCAGAAAGCCACGGCUAACUACGUG
rnacentral:rRNA from 1 species